rnacentral:ncRNA from 1 species
AAGUAGAGGCGCAAAGCUAAAAGAGUAGCUUUCCAGAGUAGAUGGAUCUACUGAGAAGGAAAGUAAAAGGGUAGUUUUGCCGAAGGUUAGCUGUCAUCCAUAGCAGUUAACUUGGUCAAAUCCAUAAUAUGAAUUUGACUGUCGCUAGUUACUAGCGGAGAGCUAUUGU